rnacentral:rRNA from 1 species
CAAAGGUAGCAUAAUCAUUAGGGAUUUAAUUGGAACCUGGAAUGAAGGGUCGAACAAAGAAAAGGCUGUCUCUAUAAUAUGAGUUGAAAUUUACUUUUAAGUGAAAAGGCUUAAAUAAAUCAAAGGGACGAUAAGACCCUAUAAAGCUUUAUAGGUGGGUUGGACUUAGUUGAUUUAGUAUGAUAAAAAUUAAGUUUGAUUACUUUAUUUCAUUGGGGUGAUGUGAGUAUAAUUGUUAUUAACUGCUUAAGAGAAAUACUUUUAUAAAAGAAUUGUAAAGUAUGAUCCUUUUUAAAGAUUAUAAGACUAAGUUACUUUAGGGAUAACAGCGUUAUUUCUUUUGAGAGUUCAUAUCGAAAAAGGAGAUUGCGACCUCGAUGUUGAAUUAAAAUAUCUAUAUAAUGCAGUCGUUAUAAAAGAGGGUCUGUUCGACCUUUAAAUUUUUACAUGAUUUGAGUU